rnacentral:rRNA from 1 species
GACGAACGCUGGCGGCGUGCUUAACACAUGCAAGUCGAACGGAAAGGCCCUGAUUUUGUGGGGUGCUCGAGUGGCGAACGCGUGAGUAACACGUGAGUAACCUGCCCUUGACUUUGGGAUAACUUCAGGAAAAUGGGGAUCAUAUCGGAUAGGAUCUCCUGCUGCAUGGUGGGGGUUGGAAAGUUUCGGCGGUUGGGGAUGGACUCGCGGCUUAUCAGCUUGUUGGUGGGGUAGUGGCGUACCAAGGUUGUGACGGGUAGGCGGCCUGAGAGGGUGACCGGCCACAAUGGGACGGCGAGACGGACCAGAAUCCUACGGGAGGCAGCAGGGGGGAAUAUUGCACAAUGGGCGGAAGCCUGAUGCAGAGACGCCGCGUGCGGAAUAACGGCCUACGAGGUGUAAACAACUUUCGCCGGUGACGAAGCGUGAGUGACGGUAAUGGGUAAAGAAGCACCGGCUAACUACGUG